rnacentral:lncRNA from 1 species
AUGCUGCUGCCCGGCCACGCGCGCCCACCGUCCGCCCCGCAACCCGCGCAGCAUCCCGGCCUCCGCAGGCAGGUAGAGCCUCCGGGGCAGCUCCUGCGUCUCUUCUACUGCACCGUCCUGGUUUGCUCCAAAGAGAUAGCGGCGCUCACCGACUUCUCCGGUUACCUAACCAAACUCCUGCAAAACCACACCGCCUAUGCCUGUGACGGGGACCAUUUGAAUCUGCAGUGUCCUCGGCAUUCCACGAUAAGUGUCCAGUCGGCAUUUUAUGGGCAAGAUUACCAAAAGUGUAGUCCGCAGCAGCCUGCCUCCCAGAGGGAAGACAGCCUAACCUGUGUGGUGCCCACCACACUGCAGAAGGUGCUGGACGAGUGUCAGAACCAGCGGGCCUGCCACCUCCUGGUCAAUAGCCGUGUUUUUGGACCUGACCUUUGUCCAGGAAGCAGUAAAUACCUCCUGGUCUCCUUUAAAUGCCAACCUAAUGAGUUAAAAAACAAAACCGUGUGUGAAGACCACGAGCUGAAACUGCACUGCCACGAGUCCAAGUUUCUCAACAUCUACUCUGCGACCUACGGCAGGAGGACCCAGGAGAGGGAUGUCUGCUCCUCGGAAGCUGAGCGGCUCCCCCCCUUUGAUUGUCUGUCUUACUCGGCUCUGCACGUGUUAUCCAGGAGAUGUUACGGGAAGCAGAGGUGCAAAGUCCUCGUCAACAACCGCCACUUCGGAAGCCCCUGUCUGCCAGGAGUGAAAAAAUACCUCUCGGUCUUCUACGCGUGUGUUCCCAAGAAUAUACUCAUGGCAAUUGAUCCAUCAGUUGCUAAUAUAAAACCUUCUGUGAAGCAGAAAGAUGGAGACUAUGGUGUAGACCUUGACCCAAGGGAACCGAGGGUUCUGAGGAAAGAUGGUGUGAUUGUCAGCCACUCGUUGGCAGCAUUUGCUUACAUUAGAGCCCAUCCGGAGAGAGCCGCCCUGCUGUUUGUGUCCAGCGUCUGCAUCGGUCUGGCACUCACGUUGUGCGCUUUGGUCACCAGAGUGUCCUGCACCAAGGACUUCCAGGAGCUGCAGCUGGCAAGGGAGCACCUCGUGCCAGGAAGCGACAAGGCUGAGGAGGACAGCCAGGAUGAGGAGGGAGAGGAGGACUCCUCUGACUCCGACUUGCCAGGGGAUCUGUCAGGGUUUGGUAGGACUACAUAUCCUGUCUACAGUUCCAUAGAGGCUGCAGAGCUGGCAGAGAGGAUUGAACGCAGAGAGCAGAUCAUCCAGGAAAUAUGGAUGAACAGUGGCUUGGACACUUCACUCCCAAGAAACAUGGGCCAGUUCUACUGA